UCCCGGUGGGGCGGCCGCCCUCGGGCUGGCGGAGGCGCCGGAGGAGCCCCCGAGCUGCAGCCGUCUCCCUCGGGCUGCUGCCGGUGCUGCGGGCGGAGGCGGCUCCGCCGCGUGUUGGGCGCUGCGAGCAGGGAGCGCUGCGGUAUCGCCGGCACGACGGGGCUGCUGCCUGCGUUAGUGCUCGUGGCUCUUUUUGCCAUGAAAACGGAGGGUUUACUGAGCGGUAAAGCCAGAGAUGGCCGGGAGAAUGCCCAGCGCAGGGAGCGGGCGGGCUGUAUGCUUGGGAUGGCACAGGUGCGAUCUGCAAAGUCACCCCCCCUUCCGCCCCUGCCCUCCCGAGCCCCAGGGAAAAUGCUUUCCAGCAUUGUCGAGCUUCUGAAAGACAAAACUUGUGAUUUGACACUUGCAUCCAGAAAAGGUUUCUGUCUCGAUUAGCAAAUGCCUAAAUUGUUCUUGGUUACAUCCCAUGACCGGUUUUAGGCAGUGACUUUAUACUGCUUUUAGGAUUUUCUUGUACAAUGGUGAGAAAAUAGGCAGGUCUGAUACUGGUUUCACUAUUUUUCUACUUCACGUUCCAUGAGAUUCUUUCAUCCAAGCACUUGUAUUAAAAUUCUACUGUAAGCGUUUAUGGUUCACUUUUUUUUUUCUUUGCCGCACCCGUGACUUUUUUUUUCCUCUAAAUCGGCAGUAAAUAUAGCUGAGUAAAAUUACCUUGGUUUUCUUCCUUCUUUUUUAACUGAAUUGUUUUUAUUAAUAAUUCUACUUGAUUAUGCAGAAAAAGUGGGUAUGUCCUGUAAUCUGUCCUAGCUUUUCUUGUUUACGGUGUACUCCCUUGGAGUCCCACAAAAACAUUCUGGGUGCAAAGGUAUGUGUUUACAUAGAAGUGAUCAGUUUAGAUAUUUGUCUGUGUACCUUUUCCUGUAAUUCAGAGCUUGCGUUCUGUGUUUUUUAUGAUAAACCUAUGGGACAUGUAAAAAUGGUUUUGCAAGUCUGAAUCGUUGAAGGCAGCAAUAAGUGAAUUUAGAGCCUGUUGUUGACCAGACAAAGGGAAAAAGUGUGACUUUGUUGCUGAACUCGUCAUUUUUCAUUUGACUUGCCUUGAAUUAUUGAAGAAGAGAGAGAACUAGGAAAAGAGAGAAAUAGAAUUAGUUAUUGAGCACUCCUAAAAAGCUCACCGUGAUUCUGUGUAGAGCCAAAGUGAAGGAUGAUGGAACAGAGCUCUGUGCAUUAGAAGGAAAUAAACCUGAUCUCCACACAGAGUCUUACUAAUUUCUGUUUUUAAAAUGCAAAAUAAGUUUAGGAAGUGUUGCAAGUUAGUAUCUGGGGAAAGAAAUGGCAGUUCCACAAAACAUUCCAUUUAAGAGAGGCCCUUGGAAUGAUUCAUUUUGUAACCGCUGUCACUGCAGUCGGUUGGUGGUUCAGCCUUGAAAUGUGUUCUUGCCCUUCUAUAAAGCACUGUUUCGUUUGCCUUUCAGUGCUAUGAGUCUUGAUAAAUUGGAGAAGCGCCCAAGAGAAAUUCAUCCUCCUGCGAUACAAAAGGAUUUAUUGGUUCAUGAAGAGCAAGAGCUCCUGGUCGGCUAACGAGCGAAUGUCUGCGUGACCUCUGUCAUGGAGCCAUUUCUCCACACUAUACUAUCAAAGUUUAAAGGGAUCGGUGAAUUUUAACUUUGGAGUCCCCUAUGCUAAGGAUGCUCAGCUUACAGGUGAUGAAAUGUUCAGUAAUGUAUUUGCUGCAGCUCUGCUUACCCAAGCUUUGGGUUCCUUCUGUCCCACGGGGAGUUGCCCAGUUUGGUUGCAUCUGGUGAAAUUCACCCUGAGACCUUACAGAACCAGCUCCAACUACGUGAGAGCCAUUUGCAGUUCUCUCCAGACACCUGGAGAAUGGGCGACGUUUCUGAGGAUCCGGCGAGCGUGCUUCUAUCAAAACUCAGUCUGUGAAAUUUCUGGGGAAAACCCUUCUGUGUCCUGAAGGGUUCAAACUCUGGUGAGGAUCCAGUUAUCAGGUGCUCACCUGGAUGGUUCCAGCUGCCAAAGGUAACACUUGUACUCUUGCCCUGUAGUUUACAUCUAUUGUAUUUUUGUUAUUUUGCAGGAUUUUUUGUCUUUGCAAAAUAUUGUGCAUUUCACUCUUUGGAACCUCUCAGAUGGUUCUUUGGUGCAGCACCACCCCAUGGGACACUUGGCUGCUGUCCUGAAGGGGUUGGUCGCUAGAAUUGUGAAUCCUGGAGAGUUUAUAAAUCUUCUGUCCCCAGGGAGGUAUCAUGCUUUGUUUACUUUUGUUCUGUUGGUUAGGUGCUGCUUCUCGUUGCAAGUACGAAUUUCAAACUGCCCUGUUCUUAUUUUAACUGUUUUCCUGGUUCUCUCCGUCCGGCAGGGAAAGACUCUCGUAUCCUUGUCGUCGGGCUCGGUGCUGUCCAAGAAGAUACAGAGACUAAAAAAAUCAUAAGAAGCAAAAUACGACUGCAGGGAAAAGGAGCUGGAGAGAACAGAAGACUCAUCACGGCGGGACAGCGUGAGGACUGAAAGUGUAAGAAGAUGUGGAGGGAAACAGAGAAUCUGACAGGAGCAGCGAACGCACGAGUGCACGAAUUUUGCUUUUUGCUUGGAUGUAAACUCAGGAGUUGAAAGGAAUUUGGGAGUGAGAAGGGACAUUUCAGAAGGAGAAGAAGAAAAAGAAGUUGUUGUUGUUGUUGCUACAGUCCUGGCAAAAGCUUUUGUUCUAGCUAAUAAAAGAAGUUAGUU